UACGGAGGAUGCAAGCGUUAUCCGUAAUGAUUGGGCGUAAAGCGUCCGCAGGUGGCAAUGUAAGUCUGCUGUCAAAGCGUCUGGCUCAACCAGAUAAAGGCAGUGGAAACUACAUAGCUAGAGUAAGGUAGGGGUAGAGGGAAUUCCUGGUGUAGCGGUGAAAUGCGCAGAUAUCAGGAAGAACACCCGUGGCGAAGGCGGCUCUCUGGGACGGUACUGACGCUGAGACGCGAAAGCGUGGGGAGCGAACAGG
rnacentral:rRNA from 1 species